rnacentral:piRNA from 1 species
UGAAGGCCAUCCCCGAAGGCUUCGUGUGUG